UUUUGCUAAGAUGUGAUGCUACUGCUCCAUGUCUGAAAUACAUUACAGAAAGCCCAUGUCUCUGUCGGUGUGAGCAAGGGAUGCAGCUGCACUGACAGGGACAACUACAUAGCCUGAUGAAGCAGACAGAAGUGACAGCUCUGAUUGGUGGAUUCAAAUUGAGCAGAUCCAGGCUCUUUGACUCUCAUAGAUACAGCUGAAAAUAUAAAGCUGAAAAAAAAAAAAAACCCGGAAAAAGCCAAUGUCAGUGUUUGAAGUUUUUUAACUUCUAAUAACUUUACAGAAGUGUGUGUGUGUGUGUGUGUCUUUGUCUGUGCUUGUGUGACUCAAUUUUUAUUCGUUGGUGACCAGCAUCCAUUAGUGUAUUCAACUUGACCAGAUUCAGACUGAUUGACUGGCAUAGAAACACACAGGACACGUUUGUUUGUCCCUGUGUGCCCUUGUGUGUGUAUGUUUGUAUGUAUGUCUGUGUUUAUGCUUGCAUCCAUGUUUUUGCACAUUGUUUUCUGAAUAUGGGUUAUUUAUCACUGUGUGUGUUUGUCCCUAUUUGUAAACAUUGCUAGGCAUCUAAUUUUUGCCUUAGCUUUGUGUAUCUGCUGGCAGUUCCUCUGUAACAUUUCUAAUGUUUCUGACAAGUUUUCACAGUUGAACAACAACUAAUUUUUUGAGGAAACUUCAGCUUUUUGAAGCUGGCUGUUUUGCAUUUCCAAUAUUUCCGCUAAAUUAUUACUUUUAUGCUAAAUUAUUACUUUUCUGCUAAAUUAUACUAUUUCAGCUCCUAUGUUGCAUUUCUACUAUGUGUUACUAUUAUACUACUGUAUAUUAAGUUAUACUCUUACACCAUUUCUUCCUGGUUUUUAGGUUUGCGCUACAUAUUAACAUUUCUGCUGUAUUACAACACUUCUGCAAUGUUGUACUACUUCUUCCAAGUUACUAUGUUUCUGCUGAGUUACAAUAUUUCUGUAACUAACAUAAAUUUUAGCAGGCCUCAACCCGCCAUGCAUGUUAACCAGGUAAAAUAAAUAUUUAUGUAGAUAUUUUGCAAAUAUUUAUUAUUCAUUUUUUAGGAGCAUAGUGCUUUUUUCCAAAUUCAGGUGAAGGCCCUUUAUGCGCUGAAAGCCCAAAGGUGAUAUAAGGAUCAGUUUUUGUUUGAUACAUGGACAAUUCAAGUUCAGCUUUUCAAUUCAUUUAAGAGAGACCUUCAACUGGAUGUUUUUACUUUUUGUUAUUUUUAAGAGUUCAAAAUGUGUCCAUUACAUAAAUAAAAUUUCAUUUACUUUGUAGCAUUUCAUGGAUUUCAUAAGCAAAACAGUAUAGUUGUUUAUACAGAGUAUAAAGGUAAAAAACAAUGUGUGAAGUGUUAUCUUCAUUUCAGAUGUCAAAAAGUAUUUGUGGCUCCCAGUGUUUUCUUUUUCGUGCAAAUCGGGUCCAAAUGGCUCUUUGGGUCUUAAAUGUUGCUGACCCCUGGUUUAGAUGGUUGUCUUUAAAACCUUCACUGAAGAGUCUUGUUGGAGAAAGCCACACCUUUACCUCACUGCAGCAGGGGUGAACAAGUGGGUGCAAGUCUAUUUAGGUUAGAAUCCAUAUGAUUAUAACCAAUAUGUAUUAGAAUAAAAUAAAUAAAUGUGCAAUGAACAUGUCAGGAGUCACUGUUGAAAACCCUCAUGGCAGUGGGGUUAAAGUACCUCCUGAACCUCUGAUUCCUGCAGUGCAGCGAGGCGAGCCUCUGCAGCUCCUACUGUCCUGUGAGGAUGCUUAGGUGAACACCAACACCAGCCCCUUGGUUUUGUUGUUCAGGAGAAGACUGUUCUUAUUACUCCAGCCAGUUAAAUAAAUAUAUCAUAAAACAGUACAUUUUAACAUAAUGACCUUAUAUUUAUUCAUGACUUUUAACCAUAAUUUCAAAUUAAAAUAAUCAUGUUUGAAAUAUUUAUUCAACUUAUAGAAUUAAAUCUCUGCUAGUUGUUUUCUGUUCCAAAAAUAUCUAGUUUAAUACUAUUUAAAUUUACAUAUAUUUUUGUAAAUUACACAAAAUUGGCAUUUUCAAUGCCAAUGCCAUUACACAAAAUUGGCAUGGCGGAGUUUCCCACUACCCGUGAAUGCCUCUUAUUUUACGUCUCUGGCUGACUCCUGAAUCUCCUCCCACUCUCUGCUUGAUCCCUGCCGAGUGAACGAGAUCUUUGGUUUUGCCUUUGCUGACUGCUGAUCUGAUCGUCUCAAGUCUGGUGACCUGCUGCAGAAAACCCUCUCCCUCUAUCAUUAACAAGCAAUUCAGUCUGUCCUAUCACUCUCCCUCUCCCUGCUCCAUCUUUUUUGACAAGCCAUUCUAUCUUCUAUCAUUUCUCCGCCAUGAGCUCUAUCUAAGUUGACAAGCUUGAACCUGAGUUGAAACGCAAUCCUGUGACUUGAAA